GUUCCAGCAUCUCUAUCCAAAGGUUAUGGUGGGGUUACCGCUUCUAAGAGGAAUCAACCCAGCUUCAUGUUUUCCUCGAACUGCUAUUGGCUAUGAGGCCACUUGCUACAGUCACAUCUGGAGUGAGGUCUUUGCUGCUGAUAUAUUUGCCUUGAAGUUUCAUCAUGAUAUUUUCAACUUGCAAGCAGGCUUGCAAUUUAGGAAAAAGGUAUUGGCCGCAGGAGGAGGAAAAGACCCCCUUGAAAUAUUGUCAGAUUUUCUUGGGAGGGAACCAUCAAUACAAGCUUUUCUUGACAAACAGAGCUGAUAUGAACUCGCUUUGUUUCACUUUUUGUAACGGUGAUUUUCUGGUCCAUCAUGUGAAGUUUUAGUAGCUGGAACGAAAUAUACUAUUUUGCAUUAUGAUAAUAUUCUGAGGAGAAACAAAAAGGACCAUAAGUGGAAAUAGCAUGUAAAAUCUAACAGUUCAACUGCACUUGCAAAAGUUCUGUGGUUGAGCUGUUGCUAAUGUAAUGAUCUCCCUUUUUGGGUUUCAUAUUUUUUUGUAUCAAAUUUUUGAGAGGGGUCCAAAGUAUAACAAAAACAAUUUUGUAAUUGUGAAGUUACUAGGUAUCAUAUCCUUGUAGCUUGUAACUGUUAUUUUGUAACAGAAU